rnacentral:lncRNA from 1 species
ACAAAUUGAACACGGAGUGAACGAUGCACUGAACAAUGAAACAAAAUAAGCUAAAAUUGAGGUGGCACGUAGUGGAACCUUGUUUGGAGCAGAUAUGGAAAGUUAGGUCAACAGAGAAGUGGAGAAACAUUAAUGAAAGAAAUAAAAAUGAUAGAAUAAAGCAUGUAGCUUAGGCUGUAGCAUAAAAACAGAAAGUAGAAAGACUUUUGGUCUUCUUUCCAUUUUUGGCCCUCCAACCAAAUCAAACAAACAUCCCCCAAUCGAAGUGCUAUCACGUGCCCUUUCUUUUGCCCGUCCAUCUCCUUUCAAUAUCCAAAAUUUCCAUAAAACUAAACCUUCAUCUUCAUCUUGUUUGAGAGAGAGAGAUGGAUCCACCACAGGUACAAGCCAUAGACACCUCCAGCAAAAGCUAUCCCCCAAUUGAAGACGAGCAAGACAAAAUAGUCGACCAAUGGUAUAUUAUUCCAACUUCCCCUGUUUUGCUCCUUUCUACUUAGUACUAUUAUUCUGUUCUAUAUUUUCUUACUGUUUUAAUUAGACCGAUUUGGUUUACUCUAAUCUUUUUAUUGUGUUUCUGCAGUUGUUCUUGCUUUUACGACUGUACUGAUAGCCUUUUGGAGUACUUGUGCUGCUAUGAUUUCUGGUGUUCCUAGGGAUACAAUUUUUCCAAAAGGGAACUUGUUAGAUGAACUAAUUAUGUUCUUUCGCUUUUGGUUAGCUUUAUUUUGCAGUACAUUACUCGAGUAACAUUAAAAAAAUUAUAAUGAGAUUAUCGUUGGCUUCUUAUUAGGUUAUAGUGGUCUUUUUCCAAUUAUAUGCCUAUGGUUCAUAAACUUAUAUGCUAGAAAGAAUUUGAACCCUUUUUGAUCGUGCAUUAAUCAAUUUUGAUAAUUAAAGAGGCAUUGGUUCUUUCAGCACAUUUCUGAUAAAAAGUUUGUGUUUCAGUUGUGAGCCUUAAUAGAUAAAGUAAAGGGAAGUUGACAAAUGAUAACUAGUCAUAAAUUAUUGAAGAAUGGUCAGGUAUUUUCUCCCUUCUGCCUAGUGCCCAGGGAUACUGGUCUGUACAUCCAUUGGCAUUCUGGCCUAAAGUGGGUUUCCCACUGUUGGUGGAGCCCUAUAUACCACUUUCUUUGGGCAUUUGCAUCUAUAUCCGCCUUUUGUGUCACGGUUUAAUUUGUGUCCGCUUUGCAAAAAAAAUUGCAAGCGUACCUAUUUUUUUGCAUAACUUCAGCAUACGAGGCUGAAGUAGCAAAAACAAUCAUGCAAAACUUCAGCAUUCUAGUAGACGAGCCUAAAGUAGCAAGUGUGCUGAAGUUUUUGUUUUGUAACUGGCGAACUUCAGCUCUUUUAUUUUUGUAAUUGACGAACUUUUGUAACUCGCGAACUCAGCUGAAGUUUUUGUUUUUGUAACUGGCG